rnacentral:rRNA from 1 species
AGUGAACGCUGGCGGUAGGCCUAACACAUGCAAGUCGAACGGCAGCACAGUAAGAGCUUGCUCUUACGGGUGGCGAGUGGCGGACGGGUGAGGAAUACAUCGGAAUCUACUUUUUCGUGGGGGAUAACGUAGGGAAACUUACGCUAAUACCGCAUACGACCUACGGGUGAAAGCAGGGGAUCUUCGGACCUUGCGCGAUUGAAUGAGCCGAUGUCGGAUUAGCUAGUUGGCGGGGUAAAGGCCCACCAAGGCGACGAUCCGUAGCUGGUCUGAGAGGAUGAACACCCACACUGGAACUGAGACACGGUCCAGACUCCUACGGGAGGCAGCAGUGGGGAAUAUUGGACAAUGGGCGCAAGCCUGAUCCAGCCAUACCGCGUGGGUGAAGAAGGCCUUCGGGUUGUAAAGCCCUUUUGUUGGGAAAGAAAAGCAGCAGGUUAAUACCCCGCUGUUCUGACGGUACCCAAAGAAUAAGCACCGGCUAACUUCGUG